rnacentral:rRNA from 1 species
UACGGAGGGUGCUAGCGUUGUUCGGAAUCACUGGGCGUAAAGGGCGUGUAGGCGGUCUGUUAAGUCUGAUGUGAAAUCCCCUCGCUCAACGAGGGAACUGCGUCGGAUACUGGCAGACUUGAGUACCGGAGAGGAAGGUGGAAUUCCCGGUGUAGCGGUGAAAUACGUAGAGAUUGGGAAGAACACCAGUGGCGAAGGCGGCUAUCUGGACGGUUUCUGACGCUAAGACGCGAAAGCGUGGGGAGCAAACAGG